UACGUAGGUGGCAAGCGUUGUCCGGAUUUACUGGGCGUAAAGAGCGCGCAGGCGGUCGUUCAAGUCGCGUGUGAAAGCCCCCGGCUCAACUGGGGAGGGUCACGCGAUACUGAUCGACUCGAAGGCAGGAGAGGGUAGUGGAAUUCCCGGUGUAGUGGUGAAAUGCGUAGAUAUCGGGAGGAACACCAGUGGCGAAGGCGACUACCUGGGCCAGUUCUGACGCUGAGGCGCGAAAGCGUGGGGAGCAAACAGG
rnacentral:rRNA from 1 species